UACGAAGGUCCCAAGCGUUGUUCGGAUUUACUGGGCGUAAAGCGUGCGUAGGCGGUAAGGUAAGUCAGAUGUGAAAUCCCGGGGCUCAACCCCGGAACUGCAUCCGAUACUGCUUUGCUAGAGUAAUGGAGGGGCAUCUGGAAUUCAUGGUGUAGCAGUGAAAUGCGUAGAUAUCAUGAGGAACACUAGUGGCGAAGGCGAGAUGCUGGACAUUUACUGACGCUGAGGUACGAAGGCCAGGGUAGCGAAA
rnacentral:rRNA from 1 species